ensembl:lncRNA
CGGCAAUUGUGAGGCCAGCCCGUGGUCAGUUUUCCAUGUGGGAAUGGAAAAGUGCUGUAUGGAUGUCGGGAUCACUGCACUCUUUUUACCCGGACAGCAGAUGGCAUCGAAGCUCCAGAAACGUCACCGCUCUCUCAGACCAUGACCAGGUUGGCAAGAGACAGCUGACUGUCUGUGUCUAAUCCCACACACACUAGUCUUCAUGGCUUGGGGCAGGUUGGAAGAAGAGGCAAGGACAGGCAGGAUAUGCAGGAGGAGCAGCUUGUCCUAACAGCCAUCUGAGUUGGUGGUGACAAAAUCUGGGCCUGGAGCAGAACCCAACCCUGGGAACCCAACAGGGACAGAUUUCUCAGGUGAUUACACUGUCAAAGUCCUGGACCAGUGAGGUAAGCCCAAUACAUGCAUUUUCAGAUUAAUGCUGAUUUUUGUUGGUUCAUAAGUAACUUUGACAGGAUUGUUU